AUUGAACGCUGGCGGCAGGCUUAACACAUGCAAGUCGAGCGGUAACAGAGAGAAGCUUGCUUCUCUGCUGACGAGCGGCGGACGGGUGAGUAAUGCCUAGGAAUCUGCCUAGUAGUGGGGGAUAACUUGCCGAAAGGUAAGCUAAUACCGCAUACGUCCUACGGGAGAACGGCGGGGAUCUUCGGGCCUUUCGCUAUUAGAUGAGCCUAGGUCGGAUUAGUUAGUUGGUGAGGUAAUGGCUCACCAAGACCGCGAUCCGUAACUGGUCUGAGAGGAUGAUCAGUCACACUGGAACUGAUACACGGUCCAGACUCCUACGGGAGGCAGCAGUGGGGAAUAUUGGACAAUGGGGGAAACCCUGAUCCAGCCAUGCCGCGUGUGUGAAGAAGGUCUUAGGAUUGUAAAGCACUUUAAGUUGGGAGGAAGAGCGGUUAACUAAUAUUUGACUGUUUUGACGUUACCGACAGAAUAAGCACCGGCUAACUUCGUGCCAGCAGCCGCCGUAA
rnacentral:rRNA from 1 species